rnacentral:misc_RNA from 1 species
UUGGGCUUGGGCUUCUUGGGC